UCGGGAUUAUCGUGUCCGCCC
rnacentral:miRNA from 15 species